UACGGGGGGGGCAAGCGUUGUUCGGAAUUACUGGGCGUAAAGGGCUCGUAGGCGGCCAACUAAGUCGGAUGUGAAAUCCCCAGGCUUAACCUGGGAACUGCAUCCGAUACUGGAUGGCUUGAAUCCGGGAGAGGGAUGCAGAAUUCCAGGUGUAGCGGUGAAAUGCGUAGAUAUCUGGAGGAAUACCGGUGGCGAAGGCGGCAUCCUGGACCGGCAUUGACGCUGAGGAGCGAAAGCUAGGGGAGCAAGCGGG
rnacentral:rRNA from 1 species